AAGAUUUUCUUUCUCGCAAUAUCUCUUAUUGUCAUUCGUUCUUCUCUGCGUUACCUCGGUCGGUUUCACCGGGGUUUUU
rnacentral:ncRNA from 17 species